rnacentral:misc_RNA from 1 species
UCAGCUUGUACAGAUAGGAUCAUGUCAUCGGUUUUCAUUAGACUAUGUAAGGUGUUUUAGUUAUUUAUGUAUCCUUUAGAAGGUUGUGAUGUCAUUGCUCUUUUUUGCCGACUGUUUAUAUAGGUAUAGCGUAAAUAAUGGAAGGGGAGAAGGAAUAAGCUUUCUCUUCUCUGCUUCUAUAUCUACUUCCUUCUCUAGCAACAGCACCUGCUUUGCAUGACCUGUAAGUACACAGAUUACGCAAUGACAUCCAAAUCAAUACACAGAUUAGAAUCUCUAUUUCUCUCACUUGCUUGAGCUCUCCUGUUGUCUUUUUUUAAAUGCACAGUAUGAAAGAUCUAAUGAUUUCUCUUGCCCGGG